rnacentral:misc_RNA from 1 species
UUUCCGUAGGUGAACCUGCGGAAGGAUCAUUACCGAGUUUUGAAUGAAGUUGUUCUGGUCUUUCGAGGCAAGCGAACGCUUCUCUCAAUCCAUCUUACACCUGUGCACCUAUCGGGGAAGACUUGGAUCUAAGUUGGGUCACGACGGCGAUCUACAGUCUCCUCUUUAUACCAAAUAACAGUUUUAGAAAGUCUUUUUUGCUUGAUGCAAACUUAAAUAAAUACAACUUUCAGCAACGGAUCUCUUGGCUCUC